CCCGCUCGCUUCAGGUCGCUGACCGGUUCCCUCGUGUAGUUCUGGGCUGUUUCCUCAUUAAUGUUCUCAAGGUCAUUUGUUCUCCACAAGUUGUGUAGGAGGUUGUGUAUGGGAGCAGUUGUGAACCGCGUAGUUAUAACAUCUAUUAAUGCACAAACACUGAAAAUAACAAAAGAGUACCUCCUCCAAACAUGUACUUGAAAGCAGAGUUUGCUGUUCCAGUUUGUCUUCUGCUCGCUGAUGGUCAUCAUGUUCUGGAGGAACACAGCAGUUCUGAUCCUGAUCCAGCUGAUUUGGGUUCAGAGGAUCUUUGCAGCUCCAUCGUUAACUGAACACAGAAGCCUGAAGGUUUCCAGAGGACAUUCAGUCACUUUGAAUUGUAACAUGUCUGUGGAAAAUGCAACAGAAAUCAAAUGGAACAAAGGAAAUUUAUCAUUUCUUCAUUCCAUCGUUCUCAAUGCUACUGCUUCAAAUUUAUCUUCUUCAAAGAUCAGUAUAGAGACCGAACUCUCUACAAAGUUAAAUAUACUAAAUUUUGAAGUUGAAGAUGAAGGAUUUUAUAUUUGUACAGUAACUAACAGGAAAGGACUAAAUACAAUUAUAUGGAAUUUAACUC